GAUGAAGAACGUAGCGAAAUGCGAUAAGUAAUGUGAAUUGCAGAAUUCAGUGAAUCAUCGAAUCUUUGAACGCACCUUGCGCCCUUUGGCCAUUCCGAAGGGCAUGCCUGUUUGAGUAUCAUGAACACCUCAACUCUUUAUGGUUUUCCAUGAUGAGCUUGGACUCUGGGGGUUUUGCUGGCUCACAGUCGGCUCCUCUAAAAUAAAUCAGCUUACCAGUGUUUGGUGGGUAUCAUGGGUGUGAUAACUAUCUACGCUUGUGGUUUUUCCACCAGGUAACCUUCAGCAGUGGAGGUUCGCUGGAGCUCAUAGACGUAUCUCCUAAGUGAGGACAGCCCUUUGAACGUUUGAUCUCAAAUCAGGUAGGACUACCCGCUGAACUUAAGCAUAUCAAUAAGCGGAGGA
rnacentral:misc_RNA from 1 species